GGAAUAUUGCACAAUGGGGGAAACCCUGAUGCAGCGACGCCGCGUGAGUGAAGAAGUAUUUCGGUAUGUAAAGCUCUAUCAGCAGGGAAGAAAAUGACGGUACCUGACUAAGAAGCCCCGGCUAACUACGUGCCAGCAGCCGCGGUAAUACGUAGGGGGCAAGCGUUAUCCGGAUUUACUGGGUGUAAAGGGAGCGUAGGUGGCAUGGUAAGUCAGAAGUGAAACCCCAGGGCUCAACCUUGGGAUUGCUUUUGAAACUAUCAGGCUAGAGUGCAGGAGGGGUAAGCGGAAUUCCUGGUGUAGCGGUGAAAUGCGUAGAUAUCAGGAAGAACACCGGUGGCGAAGGCGGCUUACUGGACUGUAACUGACACUGAGGCUCGAAAGCGUGGGGAGCAAACA
rnacentral:rRNA from 1 species